GUGCAGCAGGCGCGAAAACUUCACACUGUGCGGAAGCACGAUGAGGGAAUCCCAAGUGCUUGCACGUAAGUGUAAGCUGUUUCUCUGUCUAAAACGCAGAGAGAGUAAGGGCUGGGUAAGACGGGUGCCAGCCGCCGCGGUAAUACCUGCAGCUCAAGUGGUGACCGUUAUUAUUGGGGCCUAAAACGUCCGUAGCCGGUUUAAUAAAUGCCUGGGUAAAUUGUGUAGCUUAACUAUACGAAUUCCGGGUAGACUGUUAAACUUGAGACCGGGAGAAGUUAGAGGUACUCCUGGGGUAGGGGUGAAAUUCUGUAAUCCUAGGGGGACCACCAGUGGCGAAGGCGUCUAACUAGAACGGGUCUGACGGUGAGGGACGAAGCCCUGGGGC
rnacentral:rRNA from 1 species